CCUACGGGGGGCUGCAGUCGAGAAUCUUUCACAAUGGGCGAAAGCCUGAUGGAGCGACGCCGCGUGGAGGUUAAGGUCUUCGGAUUGUAAACUCCUGUCAUGCGAGAACAAAGCCCUUACGGGUGUGAUAGUAUCGCAAGAGGAAGAGACGGCUAACUCUGUGCCAGCAGCCGCGGUAAUACAGAGGUCUCAAGCGUUGUUCGGAAUUACUGGGCGUAAAGGGUGCGCAGGCUGCGUUGAAAGUCAGAUGUGCAAUUCAGGGGCUCACCCUCUGG
rnacentral:rRNA from 1 species